rnacentral:lncRNA from 1 species
AACGCGGCUGUUCCCAGAGACCUUCGGGAGCCGGGCUGCGGCCGCGCCUGCGCUCCGGCUCCUUGGCGGGGUUCUGUCGGAGUGGAGGAGGUUCCGCAGUGCUUGAGUGCGCGCUGGGUUGUUGGUGACCCAGUGGGCCAAAGAUGUGGCCCUGGCCGUCUCAAAGUAGGCGGUUACAGGCAGUGGGGCCGGUCGUCGAGGGAGGAGGAGCAGGGAGCCCUGGGCCCUCGUGCCCCAGCCCGCGCGGCCCCUUCGCACUUGUAUUAGCAACUUCAUCGGAUCUGGGCAUCUAGAUUGUAGAUGUGGAUGGAAAACUUCCGAAUAACAAGAUCUGUCUUGGGGAGUUGCUUCCUGAGCUCCACAGCUUGCCUUCUACAGUUGCAGUCUCUGGUUGUCUUCUGCACAAAGACCUGCAGACCUCAGAGCUGGGUCCCGGGAAACAGCAUCAACAGUAUGCACUUAAAAACCUGCCGAGUGUCAAGCACUAGGAAUUCAAUAAUGAACAGAGCUCAUCAGACUCAAGAUCUGGUAAGGAAUUGAGAUGGUAAGAAUUUACUACAAAAUCAUGCAUUCAGUGUCACUAUAGAGUAAUAUGGGUAUCAAAGAUGCCACUGAAGGGUCCUUACCUGAAGCUGGAGAAUUAAGAAUGGUUUAUGGUGGAAAUGAUUCUGCUGAGACCGGAGGACUAAGAAGGCUGGGUGUAAAGAUGUGACAGGUAGAGAGAAAUGGAGCUAAUAGCUUAUAAAGGCUUAUAAGCAAGAGCAAGCUAUGAGGUCAAGGAACCAAAUGAAAUUCAGCCGGCCUGGCUCACAGGUCACAGCAGGUAGGGAAGCACAUAUCUGGUCACCCAGGCCUUGUGAACCAUGUGCAAGUGUGAAGACUACAUGAGAUCAUAGAAAACAUUUAUGUCUCCCCAAUAUGGCAAAACACUUGGUGGUGGGAAUAGUCAAAAACAAAUUCAGAG